AACGAACGCUGGCGGCAGGCCUAACACAUGCAAGUCGAGCGAGAUCUUCGGAUCUAGCGGCGGACGGGUUAGUAACGCGUGGGAAUAUACCCUUUGGUACGGAAUAGCCCUGGGAAACUGGGAGUAAUACCGUAUGUGCCCUUCGGGGGAAAGAUUUAUCGCCAAAGGAUUAGCCCGCGUUGGAUUAGAUAGUUGGUGGGGUAAUGGCCUACCAAGUCGACGAUCCAUAGCUGGUUUGAGAGGAUGAUCAGCAACACUGGGACUGAGACACGGCCCAGACUCCUACGGGAGGCAGCAGUGGGGAAUCUUAGACAAUGGGCGCAAGCCUGAUCUAGCCAUGCCGCGUGGACGAUGAAGGCCGUUAGGGUUGUAAAGUCCUUUCAGCUGGGAAGAUAAUGACGGUACAGCAGAAGAACGCCCGGCUAACUCCGUGCCAGCAGCCGCGGUAAAGUCUGUACU
rnacentral:rRNA from 1 species